rnacentral:lncRNA from 1 species
CCAUUAACUUUGUCUAAAAAUUGGUGUGUAGCUUGAUCUUCAAGUCCUUCAACACUAUGCCAAUUUUUACUUUAAUCCGACUAAUAGAUCUUCAGAUAUCAUAGAAACCCUACCCAACCUCAAACUGCCACCUUCCAAAAUCCUUUUGUGCUAAAAACUAGAUAUCUCUAAACCACGCCGUUAGAUUAUUACAAAAUUUUGUAUAAACUUAGUACACCCAAUAAUCCAAAUAAUCACAAAUUUUUAACCAUAGAUGUUACAUCAAUUAUACAAAAUAGCUAAAAUUUCUAGCCCUAAUUAUAUUAUAUAAAACCCAAAUCACUGAUACAAAUCUUGACUUUGAAUAACAAUUUCUAAGUCCUCCAAAACCC